rnacentral:rRNA from 1 species
GACGAACGCUGGCGGCAUGCCUAAUACAUGCAAGUCGAGCGGACUAUCUGAGAAGCUUGCUUCUCAGAUAGUUAGCGGCGGACGGGUGAGUAACACGUAGGCAACCUGCCCUCAAGCUUGGGACAACUACCGGAAACGGUAGCUAAUACCGAAUACUUGUUUUCUUCGCCUGAAGGGAACUGGAAAGACGGAGCAAUCUGUCACUUGGGGAUGGGCCUGCGGCGCAUUAGCUAGUUGGUGAGGUAACGGCUCACCAAGGCGACGAUGCGUAGCCGACCGGAGAGGGUGAUCGGCCACACUGGGACUGAGACACGGCCCAGACUCCUACGGGAGGCAGCAGUAGGGAAUCUUCCGCAAUGGGCGAAAGCCUGACGGAGCAAUGCCGCGUGAGUGAUGAAGGUUUUCGGAUCGUAAAGCUCUGUUGCCAGGGAAGAACGCUUGGGAGAGUAACUGCUCUCAAGGUGACGGUACCUGAGAAGAAAGCCCCGGCUAACUACGUGCCAGCCGCCGCAGUAA